rnacentral:lncRNA from 1 species
GGAGAUACAUUACCAUAUACAGACAUCUCAAGGAAAACCCUGAGUACCAACUAUAUCCCAUUUUCAAGUAUUUUGAGAACUGGUGCCAAGAUGAGAACAGGCAUGGUGAUUUCUUCUCUGCAUUGAUGAAGGCACAACCCCAGUUCCUCAAUGAUUGGAAGGCAAAGUUGUGGGCUCGAUUCUUCUGCCUAUCGGUAAUUAUAGUAUAAUAAGUUUCUACAUUCAAUUGUAUACUAGAUUGCAAAUAUUAUCUUAAUUUUUUACCCUAGUGUGUUUAAAUCUUUGGCUUCUCGAGAACCUCUGGGAUUCCUCUGGUCCUCUUAUGACUUCCCAAAUUUGUCUUGCAGGUUUAUGUAACAAUGUACCUCAAUGAUUGCCAGCGUACGGAUUUCUAUGAAGGAAUUGGGCUCAACACAAAAGAAUUUGACAUGCAUGUGAUCAUAGAGGUGAGCCUGCAUAUUCAUGCCCUCCAGCUUUUUCCAUGUUAUAAGUAAUGAUCCGAGUCAUGCUUAUGAAAUUUUGUUUUGCAGACCAA